UGAAUCGACGUUCUUUGAUGUUUUUCACAAAGUGUCAGAGGAGGAUUACGAUCCUCCAAAAGGAUGGGUUAAUCUAUCCAAGGUAGACCUCAUACCUUUUAUAGAAGUCAAGGACUAUGGGAUCCGCCGGGGAGAGCGUCAAGGGGUAAGUGUAAUCACUUAAGUACCCCUCCACCUAUGUGGUGAUGUCUUUAUCGUGACCGAGGACGACCACCUCCUUGCCCUCCCAGUCACAAUCUACUCGGACCAUAGGCAGUGUUCCUCAGUAACGGAGCAUACCUCCAUGCUCCUUUGCUUCAGUCCUAUUGGCUGGAGUCCUUCUCAAAGUUGAAGUCCUUCCCGACAGAGAACCCUUCUGGUACGAAGCUCUUCAAGAGAUGCUCCUUGGCCACCACAGGAAUGGACACCUCACGUCUGUGGCCGAGUUGGAUGAUGAAGGAGUAGUUUGUUGAGGCACAGAUUUGAAUGUUUUUGCCAUUGAGAUAUGGGAAAUAUGAAGGUUUGAAGAAAAAUAUGAAGAUUUGAAGUUGAUAUGAAGAUAUGAAGGCUUAGGUUGAAGAUUCAAAAAAUGUACGGAGAUUGAGGAUGAAGAUAUGAAUGUAUAAGGAGUAGUAUAUGAAGAUUUGAAGGAGUCAAACGCAAGUAGGGAAUUCGAGGGUAGGAAUUAUAGAAUAGAAAGAGGAGAAGUGAAAAAGAGGUCAGAGUUUUUAUAGGCGGAGAACAAUCAAAGCGCGACGUUUUGCAUUCAAG
rnacentral:lncRNA from 1 species